rnacentral:rRNA from 1 species
AACGCGAAGAACCUUACCUACUUUUGACAUCCUGCGAAUUCUGAAGAGAUUUAGAAGUGCCGAAAGGAACGCAGAGACAGGUGCUGCAUGGCUGUCGUCAGCUCGUGUUGUGAGAUGUUGGGUUAAGUCCCGUAACGAGCGCAACCCUUGUCCUUAGUUGCCAGCGGAGAGAAGGGGACUCUAAGGAGACUGCCGGUGAGGAACCGGAGGAAGGCGGGGACGACGUCAAGUCAUCAUGGCCUUUAUAAGUAGGGCUACACACGUGCUACAAUGGGGCGUACAGAGAGUAGCCAACCCGUGAGGGGGAGCCAAUCUCGAAAAGCGCCUCGUAGUCCGGAUUGGAGUCUGCAACUCGACUCCAUGAAGUUGGAAUCGCUAGUAAUCGCGAAUCAGCAAUGUCGCGGUGAAUACGUUCCCGGGCCUUGUACACACCGCAUAC